UAUUAAACGCUGGCGGCAUGCCUUACACAUGCAAGUCGAACGGCAGCACGGGAGUAAUCCUGGUGGCGAGUGGCGAACGGGUGAGUAAUAUAUCGGAACGUGCCCAGUCGGUGGGGGAUAACGUAGCGAAAGCUACGCUAAUACCGCAUACGAUCUAUGGAUGAAAGCGGGGGGAUCGCAAGACCUCGCGCGAUUGGAGCGGCCGAUAUCAGAUUAGCUAGUUGGUGGGGUAAAAGCUCACCAAGGCGACGAUCUGUAGCUGGUCUGAGAGGACGACCAGCCACACUGGAACUGAGACACGGUCCAGACUCCUACGGGAGGCAGCAGUGGGGAAUUUUGGACAAUGGGCGAAAGCCUGAUCCAGCAAUGCCGCGUGCAGGACGAAGGCCUUCGGGUUGUAAACUGCUUUUGUACGGAACGAAAAAGUCUGCCCUAAUACGGUGGGCUCAUGACGGUACCGUAAGAAUAAGCACCGGCUAACUACGUG
rnacentral:rRNA from 1 species